AUCCAGCUGACGAGUCCCAAAUAGGACGAAACACGCGUCCUCGAU
rfam:Schistosoma mattheei strain Denwood, Zambia genome assembly, scaffold: SMTD_scaffold0020735